UGGUAGAUGCACCCUGAUAAUUACCCCUAGGCUCAACGGUUUGGGGGUUUUCUUU
rnacentral:sRNA from 1 species